GGUGAUGCUCCUUCUGCCCCACCUCACCCCCAAGCUUGGUUCAUCACAAAGGUUAAGCAUGGGCAUUUUCCCGCUGGGAAAGUGAGCCAGAUUUAUACAGUGUCUCAGCCGAGCAUCCAGGAGUGAACCUGUAGAUUCAGUGCUAGAGGUCACUAUCAUGUCCUUCCUCCCUCCUGUUCCUUCGUGAUUGUACCAAAAUGAACUGGUUGCCCACUUGGUUCUUGCUGGGCACAGCAGGUUCACAUCUCUCCAUGCAUUUAGAGAAGAGCUGUUUGAGAGCUUUUAGGGAAGUGUGGGAAAGUCUCAUGGAACAGUUCCAGCAUCACAGAGAAACUUCUCCACAGUUAAUGCUUCUCUCUUUCCUACUUUCACAGCCAUGCGAGACCAGGC